UACGUAGGUGGCAAGCGUUGUCCGGAAUUACUGGGCGUAAAGGGCGCGUAGGCGGCCAUCUAAGUCAGACGUGAAAUCCCCCGGCUUAACCUGGGAACUGCGUCUGAUACUGGACGGCUUGAGUAUGGGAGAGGGAUGUAGAAUUCCAGGUGUAGCGGUGAAAUGCGUAGAUAUCUGGAGGAAUACCGGUGGCGAAGGCGGCAUCCUGGACCAUUACUGACGCUGAGGCGCGAAAGCUAGGGGAGCAAACGGG
rnacentral:rRNA from 1 species